rnacentral:sRNA from 1 species
CUUGUUCUAAUUUUUAUAUCCGCUUACCCUCUUAGCCCAAUAUCCUGCCAAACAAGCUUCCCGAAGCGCAUGCGUCCGGAGUUAGAAAACUUCCGAAAGAACACCUCAGUCAUUUAAGUACUUCGGUGAAAACAAAGCCCAAACUAUGCGAUAGUCCGGACGUAAACAAGCAGCUUCGCAGCUCGGUCAUCUUAGAUAUACCUUCCCUCCUCACCUACGACCCUCUCCAUAUUGUAAAAGAAAAACAUCUACCGUCCUGCACAAAAAUAAAAGAGAGCAGAGGGGCCAAGGGGCAUUGACAUCGGCCAACCCCGAAAAAAAAGAAAAAAAAAAUGCGGCCUCCAAACCUCCUCCUCCUUCGCCGCCUCCGCUGUCCUCACACCCACCCUCCCCUUUCUACAGGAAUAACAACCCUAAUAAGCAGCCGCCGCUUCCACCUCCCCUCCCUCCCCUCCCUCCCCUCCUUCACAAACCCCAUCUCCCCCAAACCACCACCCCCGCGCACCCUAACCGCAACCCGCAACCUCGCGUUUCCCCCCUCCCUCCUCUUCCGCACAAUCGCC